GGAGAGAUGUCCGAGAGGCCGAAGGAGCACGACUGGAAAUCGUGUGUGGGGUCUAAAAACCUCACCGAGGGUUCAAAUCCCUCUCUCUCCGCCA
rnacentral:tRNA from 1 species